AACCCUCAAUUAUUAUUAUUAUCAUCUCUCUCUCUCUCUCGUAUGGAGAGAUCGCCCUCUCUCUCUCGUAGCCUCGUAGGGGAGAAUGAUGAGAACAGUUUCUUCCUAAAAUCCCUUUCACCUUCUCUCCUCUCCUUCUGUGGCUUGCCAUGCAUAUGAGGUAUGGAGUGUUUUGAUGAUCUGAUAAUAACAUGUUGCAGUGCCUAGAGGGAUUUAAGCAAGUAUUUGCUUUCUUACUUAAGUGUUGUGAGCUUGAUUUAUACAAGUCAUCUAAGGGCCUUGAGGAUCCUGAAGUUCUUGCAAGGGAGACAGUGUUCAGUGUGAGUGAAAUAGAAGCGCUCUACGAGUUAUUUAAGAAGAUCAGUAGUGCAGUGAUUGAUGAUGGACUGAUAAACAAGGAGGAAUUCCAGUUAGCAUUGUUCAAGACUAACAAAAAGGAGAGCUUGUUCGCCGACAGGGUGUUUGAUCUGUUUGACACAAAGCAUAACGGGAUAUUAGGUUUUGAAGAAUUUGCACGCGCAUUGUCCGUCUUUCAUCCCAACGCUCGAAUUGAUGAUAAGAUUGACUUUUCCUUCCAACUGUAUGAUCUCAAGCAGCAGGGUUUCAUUGAACGGCAAGAGGUGAAGCAAAUGGUAGUGGCUACACUCGCAGAAUCUGGCAUGAAUCUCUCAGAUGAUGUAAUUGAAAGUAUUAUUGACAAGACAUUUGAGGAGGCAGAUACAAAGCAUGACGGAAAGAUUGACAAGGAAGAGUGGAGGAGCCUGGUUCUGCGACAUCCCUCUCUUUUAAAGAACAUGACCCUACAAUAUCUCAAGGACAUCACAACUACUUUUCCGAGCUUUGUGUUUCACUCUCAAGUGGAUGACACCUGAUGCUUUUGUUAUUAAAAAAAACAUCGGGCAGUCAGUGUAGCUAUGAUUUUUCUUCUUUUGGAAUAUAUAUGAGUCUCGUUAAGAUUAUGUUAGAGUGGGAGUGCUGCCGUCUGGGUUUCUUGAUUUUGCCAAUAGUGUGGAUUACUCUCUAUUGACUGCAUUUACAACCUAAAAAAUUGUAUUUCUCACCUGAGUGGACCACAUCCACAGUGCAAAAGGAACGUGAAGCUCAUAAAAUGGGAACUGUACAUCUUUUUACUAUGAUCAACUAAUAUUUCCUUUCCAUCAUUUGUCUUCCCUACCUGGACGUCUGGUAAGUAAACAUAAUAACAGUUCUUGAUUGGUAAUACAAAAAGUGGUAAGAGGCUCGGAUCUAUGGGAAGACAGCGUGAACUGUUCCAAAUCCAGAGAGGAGUUGCGUAGGAGAACUGGCCAAGCAAUAAUUGAUGCUUGUUAGUCCGAGUAGCUUUCAAAUACUGGCAGGAGCCUCACUCCUGUUGCUUCCCGGUUGAUGUGCCUGAAUUUGCAAAGAAAAAAAGAUGUGGGCGACAUGUGCAGCCGAUUGCAGCUAAAGUUUGCUCUAUUAUGCAGGCUUAUUGGUUGCAUUCUGACAAACGAAUAUGAUGACAACGACUUAUGAGUUCCACCAGCUCAGCUUGAUGGGAUGUCCUACGUGGAUGCUGCUUGGACAAAGUGGGGGCGCGUGAUUUUAUGGUCAGCUGUGAACCCGUUUCUUGGCUUGAACUAAGGGGCCGUUUGUUUGCGUCAGAUCUGAGGUACUAAAAGAGGUGAUUUGAUAUCACGGGGGUUCUCAGGUCCUCGAAUUUGAGGUCAGAUCCUCCUCCCAUCCAACCUCAAUGUCAAAUCUGAGGUUUUUGCCGUAUAUUGAAGAUUUGAAACCCUCUUUUUUUAGAUGAUGGUGAACUCGAGUUUCAUUAUCAAAAAACCAUAAAUGUUUUGUGUAAUGGACUUACCUUGUUUGAACAUAUCUCUCUCUCUCUCUCUCUCUC